CAUGUGUCAAGUGGUGUGUUUAUAUUUACAUUCCCGGAUAUAAUAAAACUAUAUAAGUAGACGAGUUUGUCUUUCAAUUCAAAUUAGUUUUAUAAAACUACAAUAACGCAGCAAAGAAAAUAAAGUUAACAACUUUAUAUAAUUGAAUAUAUCAAGUUUGAAGAGUUCCUUGCCAUGCAAACUAGAAACGCAGCUUAUCUACUCAUAUGCCUUAUAGCAUUACAUAUGGUGUCGGAAAUUGCCACCCGACCACAAGCGAACUGCUGUCGGUACCGAAGGUGUCCUAUUGGGAAAAUGUGCGUAAAUAUUGGUUCCCGUUGUAGAUGUAAGAGUAAUCGUGUUAUUUCGGCCUUUUUAGACAUGUUCAUAGGAUCUCCAAAGGAACAAAAACUUUCAAUAGAAGUUAGUGAGGAGGAUGAUCAACAGUUCUGGUAAUAAGAGGGUACAUCAAUUCCAAUUGUGAUAUUCAACUUUGUGAUUAUUAUAACUACUAAAUAUCAAUGAACAUUUUUCAUUUUUACCACUUGUGUUCAUACUUGAGUGACUGAAUUUUUAUCUUCUCUGAUGUUUAAUAUCUGUGUUGUGUGUUUUUAAGUUGAAAUCCAUGACUUUUAAAUUUUCCUUACACUUAAUUUAUUUAUUUAUUUAUUUAUAAAUUUAUUUGAAAAUGGGUGUGAUAUUUUAGAUACAUGUUUUAUUUUCUAUUUUAUGUGCAAUCUAUAUACAGUGUACAUGUACACAUAUUUCAAAUAUACUCAUUUUUUACAUUUAUUUGUUAGCCAUUUGAACUUUAUUGAAUAAUGAUCUAGAAAUAAAGAAAUUGAAUACUAA